rnacentral:rRNA from 1 species
UAGUCCACGCCAUAAACGAUGAGUGCUAGCUGUUGGGACCUCAGGUCUCAGUGGCGCCGCUAACGCAUUAAGCACUCCGCCUGGGGAGUACGGUCGCAAGAUUAAAACUCAAAGAAAUUGACGGGGACCCGCACAAGCGGUGGAGCAUGUGGUUUAAUUCGAGGCAACGCGAAGAACCUUACCAGGGCUUGACAUGCCUCUCGCGGAAUCCAGAGACGGAUUCCUUCAGUUCGGCUGGAGAGUGCACAGGUGCUGCAUGGCUGUCGUCAGCUCGUGUCGUGAGAUGUUGGGUUAAGUCCCGCAACGAGCGCAACCCUCAUCGUUAGUUGUCAGCAUUAAGUUGGACACUCUAACGAAACUGCCGGGGUCAACCCGGAGGAAGGUGGGGAUGACGUCAAGUCUUCAUGGCCCUUACGUCCUGGGCUACACACGUGCUACAAUGGUAGUGACAGUGCGCAGCUACUCCGCGAGGAGAUGCUAAUCGA